rnacentral:misc_RNA from 1 species
AACGCACCUUGCGCUCCUUGGUAUUCCGAGGAGCAUGCCUGUUCGAGUGUCAUUAAAUUUAUCAACCUUUAUUUGACUUUUUGUCAGAUAGAGGCUUGGACUUGGGGGUUUCUUUUGUUGGUUUCAUUUAGAAAUCUGCUCCCCUUAAAUGUAUUAGCUGGUGCACUUAGUGGUAUCAUCUAUUGGUGUGAUAAUUAUCUACGCCGUUGGAUGUCUAAUGCGCUGCUUCUAAUCGUCCUUUUGGACAAAUUUGUUAUGACCAUUUGACCUCGAAUCAGGUAGGACUACCCGCUGAACUUAA